UCUGUAACUUCCAGCUUAGGCUAGUGGCACCGGUUUUGUCUCUUCCACUGACCUUGUGCCUUCUAUUUUCAAUUUUUACUUCUCCUUUUGAAAUGCAGGGUAGAAGGCUAAGGGUA